rnacentral:rRNA from 1 species
GACGAACGCUGGCGGCGUGCUUAACACAUGCAAGUCGAACGGUGAAGCGCCUUCCUUUUUGGUGGGUGUGGAUGAGUGGCGAACGGGUGAGUAACACGUGAGUAACCUGCCCCCUUCUUCUGGAUAACCGCAUGAAAGUGUGGCUAAUACGGGAUAUUCUGGGUCUGUCGCAUGAUGGGUCUGGGAAAGAUAUUGUUUCGGUGGGGGAUGGGCUCGCGGCCUAUCAGCUUGUUGGUGGGGUGAUGGCCUACCAAGGCGGUGACGGGUAGCCGGCCUGGGAGGGUGGACGGUCACACUGGGACUGAGACACGGCUCAGACUCCUACGGGAGGCAGCAGUGGGGAAUAUGGCACAAUGGGCGCAAGCCUGAUGCAGCGACGCCGCGUGAGGGAUGGAGGCCUUCGGGUUGUGAACCUCUUUCGCCAGUGAAGCAGGCCUGCCUCGUUUGUGGGUGGGUUGACGGUAGCUGGAGAAGAAGCGCCGGCUAACUACGUG